rnacentral:lncRNA from 1 species
AGUAACAAAAUCAGAAACAUCCAGAUCCGUCUUGUCUAGCUGACGGGAUAUUUCUGAUGGGCCAUUUGUGGCUGGGGGAUCUGGUAUAGCAUGAUCAAUGUAAUUUGUCUCCACUUUCCUAUUCUUAAGUAAAGCUUUAUAGAGAUCCGCCAAAUGCUUCGGAGUAUGACAUGUACACGCCCAAUGUCCCUUUGCAUCACAUCUGUGACAAGUGCUUUCAACAUUUCUAGGGAUGUGGCUUGUUUGUUCCUUCCCCUUAUUCCGGGAUGCAUUUUUGCCAUUCGUGGAUACUGCCACAGGAUGAAGUGGCAUUCACUUCCUGAGAUGCAGUAUUUAUUUAAGGAAGUGGUGCUGAGCUCGUUGGGCGAGAUUGGUGGUUCUUCAAUAAAAGCUCAUUAUUUUGCUCAGCUAACAAAAGGCAGGAUACAAGUUCCGAGUACUUUGUGAAACCACUAUGCCUAUAUUGUUGUUAUAGGAGGACAUUGGAGGCAUGAAAUGUGUUUAGAGUUUUCUCGAGCAUAUCCUUUUCAGAGAUACUUUCACCACAUAACUUCAUUAAUGAGGUAAUUCUAUUCAUAGCUGAGUUGUACUUGGACACUGUCUUGAAAUCUUAAAAUCUCAAAUGUGUCCAUUUGUAUCUAGCUCUUGGGAGGGUCACCAUUCUAACGAUUGUAUCUUUCACCUAGAGCUUUUCACAAAACUAACGGCUCAUCAACCACCACAUAUUCGCUUUUCAACGCUUCAUGGAUGCAGCGGCCAGGAAAAAUCAUGGCUUUUGCAUUUUCUUUGGGCGAAGCAUCACUCCCAUCUACAAUUGUUUUUCCAAGGCCAUUGGCACGUAGAUGGAUUUUGGCAUCCAAGACUCAUGAUAGAUAGUUGUCCCUAGAAAUGUCCAAGGCAACAAAUUCCAGCUUUGCCAAAUUUACCAUCUUUAAAAAAAAAGAAAAAAAAAGAGAUGCAUUAGAAUUUGUAAUAAUCUUCAGGCUUAAUAUAUUUUUGAACUUCAGGCCAAAAAUAUCUUGUAUAUUUUUUCCGAAUCUUUAGGCUCAGGAUCAUGGACAUUAAGCCAUUUAUUAAUAGGAACUUCAGGCCCUAUAAUUGUUUGAGGAACUUCAU